CGGGCGGCCGUGACCCUGCUGGAGUGCGGGGGGGACCUCCAGCCCCCCGGGGGGUCCCUGACUCUGCUCUGCCGCGGGAAAGGGUUCAAUUUCGGGAGUUAUGGAAUGUUUUGGAUCCGCCAGAGGCCCGGGAAGGCGCCGGAAUUGGUCGCAGCGACCAACGGCAAUGGCGACAGCACUGGGUACGCUUCGUCAGUCAAGGGCCGGUUCUUGAUCUCCAGGGACAACGGGCAGAGCUCGGUGACGCUGACCAUGAACAACCUCAAGGACGAGGAUUCCGCCGUUUAUUUCUGUGUCAAAUGUUACAACGAUGGUUGUUGUAGUAAUACUGGUGCUGGUCAUCUGACGCGGAGCCGACGCCGGCAGAAGCGGUUCGGUGCCGGGUCUGGGGCCAGGCCGGAGCCUUUGCCCAAAUCCCUGAAUUUCUGA